CCUGAGUUCAAUCCUAAACUGAUAAUUUACUAAUCAUGUGACCUUGGGCAAAUUACCUUAACUUCUGAAAGCCCUGGUAAAAAUCCCACUUGAUAAUAAAAUCGAGUCCAGGAUAAUAAAAUAAAAAUCAAGUGGGAGUACUUUUCACUCUGUAACCAACUACUGCUGAAUUAUUCUUUUCCUUUUUUUGGACAGUCUCACCCUGUCACCCAGGCUGGAGUGCAGUGUUGUGAUCUCUCCUGGGCUCAAGCGAUCCUCCCGUCUCAGCCUCCCAAGUAGCUGGGAUUACAGGCGUGCACCACCAUGCCCAGCCUGAGAUAGCUUCUGUAAUUAUUCUAGCACAAUGCUAAGCACUUGCAGCAGGUGAGUGGUUUGUUUCCUUUACACUCCCUACAAGAAAUGUGAAUGCAAUGCUCUUCAGUUUUGGAGAACACAGGCAAACAACUGUAUGUGCUAAAUCAUCUGACUUCAUUUUGAUCACAAGGGCUUCCACCAGCCAAUGAAUACUUGCUGUGAAUGCUGCCCAAUGUCGGGCCUGAGGAAAACCAGACAGUGGCUUCAUGUCAUUUUUUAAAUCAUGUCUGAUAUAUUUCAUUGGAGCUUUUCCCCCCCAAUACCCAAAGAGAUACCCAAAGAGAACUCUGAAAACACCAAUACCCCAAUUUCCUGCUUUGUGCCUGCAUUUCUCUAAAUAUUUCCAUCUGAACUUUGUCUGCGAGUAUUAGGUCAGAUGUCUACUGUAAUUACCAGGCAUCCUGGGGACUGUAAUUAAAAGGCAGUUUGAAAUGACUGACACUUUGAUGGUGAUUCUAGCCAUUUCUAUUUUCUGACAACGAAUCUUCCUCAAAAAUUUUACUGCCCCCUCAUGUCCUUGCUCCCUGAUUUUUCUUCAGUUAGGCACUCCGUAAUUCAGCAGCAUUCUUUUCUUUCCACAAUUUAUCUCCCUACUCCCCUUCUCAUCACUUGGGUCCGGCCGGUGAGCAAGGAGGAAGAAACCCAAAGGGAUCUUCAGGGUCCGCGCCCCGCAAAAGGUCUCACAGCAGAGACGUACAGGAGAGGUGACCCAACCCCCGGACCUGGAUGGGGCCCUUAUGGGAAAAACCCCGUGUUUGCUUCAGGCCAUUCUAUGCGGCAUCCACGAGGUCUGUGGGCCAGCGGCACGGCGCGGCCCUGUCCCCCAAAAAGGAGGAGAGGCAGGAGGAAGAGGAAGUGGCCGUACAGGCCGAAGCCUUGUG
rnacentral:lncRNA from 1 species